rnacentral:lncRNA from 1 species
ACAAAAUCUUAAUUCUAAUAGAAUACUAACAAUGCUCUAAUUAGACUAUAAUAAUGGUAAACAAACGUAAUCAAAUUCAAAACAACUCAAAGAAAUUUCAAACAAACAAUAAAAUUCUUAAAAAAAUAUUAGAAUGAUCACAAAUAUUACUCAAAUAUAUGUCAAUUCAACCUUAAUUUAAUUCUAGUUAAAAUCCUAUUGAAUUUUACUCAAACUUUAGACCAAACCUAAUUAAAACUUAAAUCCUAAUAAAUCCUAAACCCUAAGUCAAAUCCUAAACAAAUCUUAAAUUAAACCCUAAAUCAAACCCUAUUUCAAACCCUAAAGCCUAAACCAAAUCCUAAAUCAACCCUAAACUCUAAUCCAAACUCUAAAUCCUAAACCAAAACUUAAAUCAAAUCCUAAUCAAAUCCUAAUCCAAACCCUAAAUCAAACCCUAACCAAAUCCUAAACCCUAAUCCAAACCCUAAAUCAAAUCCUAACCAAAUCCUAAAUCCUAAUCAAAUCCUAAACCCUAAUCCAAACCCUAAUCCAACCCUAAAUCCUAACCAAACCCUAAUCCAAAUCCUAAAUCAAACCCUAACCAAAUCCUAAAUCCUAAUCUAAACCCUAAUCCAAUCCUAAACCCUAACCAAACCCUAAAUCCUAAUCCAAAACCUAAUCCAAACCCUAAAU